CGCACAGCCCUGCCCAGGAAACCUCUCCCUGUCAGCCCUCUUGUCCCAGCGUCCUCUUCCUCAGCCAGGGGUCAGUCCAAAGCAAGCAGGACCCAGGAUGUCUGUGGUGGCCGUUCCUGAUCCAAAUCCUGUUUCUAAAGAGCACGAGGAAAGAAUCAGCGGAUACUCUCAGGUCACAACAGCAUCGUCCCAGGAACGUCUUCUCUCUUCUUGGAAAUUUUCAAUGCACAUCAGAGGGUCUGAGAAGUCCUAGAGGGGAGGUGAUCACGGGACCCCCACAAAAUUUCUGCUUUCCUUGGAUGAAAGGCAUUGUUGGAAAUUCAGGGUGUAUCUGUCAGUGCAGGCUGGGUUAGGAGUACCAAACUGCUCCCAGAUCUUGUCACUUGAAAGAGCAGAGCGUGAUGCUGGUCCAUGCACAUGACAUGUCCACUGUGCAUGCGUGGGGGGUGGGGGGGCGCCCUGCCCUGCAGAGUCCUUGGGACAGAGUGGAAGAGGCUUGUUUUUCUGCUUCCACGAUGGCCAGUGCAGAGACUGGCCACAAGGGAUUAGACACAGCCUGGUAAGGCCCCUCCUGGGGGGAUGCACCUGGGUCCUGCUUCCAUUUCAUUGGCCAAGACAAGUCAUGUGGUCGCCUCUAACUUCAGAGGCCUGAGGAGGUGAAAUCCUUCCUCACUUCUGGAAGGAUGAGUGGGCUCUGUGCCAAGGAUAUGUCAACAUGUGUGUAGCAGUGAGUGCUGAUGACGGCGGCUGGCAUGACCAGCACGCUGGGCUAGAGGUCGUCUCUGUUGUUCAUCAGCAGCCCUUCCACAGCAUUGAGAGAUAGUCCUGACUUUCCAACCAUGGCUUCUUUUCUGCAAUAAAUACAAUGUCACUUACAAAGAAAAAAAACCCCAAAGCAGGUCCUGCAUCUAAAGAAGUAAUUUUAAUGGAUACUUCCAAAAUAAUCUGCCAUUUCUUCUUGGCCUGGGGCGUGCUUGUCUGUAUGUUUCUCUGCAAAGGCUUCCUAAAUCUCUGUGCAAUCUCAGUUUGUUCUUUCUCUCACAUUGGACGGUGAGGUGCCUGAAGGUGGAGGUUGUGAGGUUUCUGUCUUCUGUCCUUGAGCAGGAAAGAGCCCAGGGCCCCCACUCUCCAGCACACCCCAUUUCUCUGAAAGGGCCAAUGGAGAGUGUGGGCCAUGGAGCCUCCCACAGCCAGGGAAGGGAUGCCACACAGCGGGCCGGG
rnacentral:lncRNA from 1 species